rnacentral:rRNA from 1 species
AUUGAACGCUGGCGGCAGGCCUAACACAUGCAAGUCGAACGAGUGGCGGACGGGUGAGUAAUGUCUGGGAAACUGCCCGAUGGAGGGGGAUAACUACUGGAAACGGUAGCUAAUACCGCAUACCAUCGGAUGUGCCCAGAUGGGAUUAGCUAGUAGGUGGGGUAAAGGCUCACCUGGGCGACGAUCCCUAGCUGGUCUGGGAGGAUGACCAGCCACACUGGAACUGAGACACGGCCCAGACUCCUACGGGAGGCAGCAGUGGGGAAUAUUGCACAAGGGGGGCAAGCCUGAUGCAGCCAGGCCGCGUGUAUGAAGAAGGCCUUCGGGUUGUAAAGUACUUUCAGCGGGGAGGCGUUACCCGCAGAAGAAGGACCGGCUAACUCCGUGCCAGCAGCCGCGGUAAUUC